AAGGCCCCCGGCAGACCACCGGGUUGAUAGGCCAGAACUGGAAGUGCAGUAAUGCAUGCAGGUGACUGGUACUAAUAGGCCGAGGACUUACCACAA
rnacentral:rRNA from 1 species